rnacentral:rRNA from 1 species
GCGGGCACUUCGGUGUCAGCGGCAGACGGGUGAGUAACGCGUGGGAACGUACCUUUUGGUUCGGAACAACUGAGGGAAACUUCAGCUAAUACCGGAUAAGCCCUUACGGGGAAAGAUUUAUCGCCGAAAGAUCGGCCCGCGUCUGAUUAGCUAGUUGGUGAGGUAAUGGCUCACCAAGGCGACGAUCAGUAGCUGGUCUGAGAGGAUGAUCAGCCACAUUGGGACUGAGACACGGCCCAAACUUCUACGGGAGGCAGCAGUGGGGAAUAUUGGACAAUGGGGGAAACCCUGAUCCAGCCAUGCCGCGUGAGUGAUGAAGGCCCUAGGGUUGUAAAGCUCUUUUGUGCGGGAAGAUAAUGACGGUACCGCAAGAAUAAGCCCCGGCUAACUUCGUGCCAGCAGCCGCGGUAAUACGAAGGGGGCUAGCGUUGCUCGGAAUCACUGGGCGUAAAGGGUGCGUAGGCGGGUCUUUAAGUCAGAGGUGAAAGCCUGGAGCUCAACUCCAGAACUGCCUUUGAUACUGGAGAUCUCGAGUUCGGGAGAGGUGAGUGGAACUGCGAGUGUAGAGGUGAAAUUCGUAGAUAUUCGCAAGAACACCAGUGGCGAAGGCGGCUCACUGGCCCGACACUGACGCUGAGGCACGAAAGCGU